GUAUGGUAGAGCAAACAAUUUUCUUGAGACACUCCGCUCUUCUCAACUAUGAUUCCGAAUCAUAAUUUAGAGCCUCAUCAGGAAUAUUUUUCCAAAAAACACCGUUUUAAACAUUAGGGCCUACGCACAAACGGACAAUUUUGGCAAAGUAACAAAAGAAGCAAACCUUAAAUAAGUCUGUUGAUUGGAGCAUAAUCAUUCCAUUCUUGGUGAAGCAAACGAAUGCAACAUUUGCUACAGUUUAAUCACCGCAUGAAGUAACCUAGAGCAACGUUUCGUUUCAAGUGAAAUUUCCAUUUUUCACAGCCAAUCCUGCAGCAAACGGGUCUGAAAAGACAUACAGGUUUUGAAGAAAGUGCUGCACUAGUCUGACGGUGUACUAAAUGAGAAUUACGUGGUUUCCAAGACAUUUAUUGCACGGAAAUUAGACUUAGAAUAGUUGAAAUGAAAAUAUACUUGAGAUGAAAGA